CAACUAGCUGAAUCAGAAAUUCAAAACUUCAUAAAUGAAAAUGAAUAUUAUAUGAUGAUUAGUGGCAUAAAUGUUUAUCAAAAGCGAAAAUACAAAAAGUCUAGAUUUUGAAGAGAUUCUGAAUUAAUUUAUGUAUGAAAAAUCAAGCAAUUCCAAGUUUCCAAAUUACAUGCAAAGUAAAUUGAAAGAGUUGAUAGAGUUGCAGCAUUUUUAGAGAAAAUCAAUGUUUCCCUAAUGCGCUAUUAAUUGUUGGCGACAUAGCUCGUGUAUUAAAGUCUUCGUCACAGUUGACUCAGCAAGAAUAGCAAGAAUAGACAUUGAUACACUUUUGCAUUAUGCAAUACACAAGUUGGCAGUUCCUAACCCACUGCCACCCAAA
rnacentral:lncRNA from 1 species